UGGGGAAUAUUGCACAAUGGGGGAAACCCUGAUGCAGCGACGCCGCGUGAGCGAAGAAGUAUUUCGGUAUGUAAAGCUCUAUCAGCAGGAAAGAAAAUGACGGUACCUGACUAAGAAGCUCCGGCUAAAUACGUGCCAGCAGCCGCGGUAAUACGUAUGGAGCAAGCGUUAUCCGGAUUUACUGGGUGUAAAGGGAGCGCAGGCGGUCUGGCAAGUCUGGUGUGAAAGGCCGGGGCUCAACCCCGGGACUGCAUUGGAAACUGUCAGACUGGAGUGUCGGAGAGGCAAGCGGAAUUCCUAGUGUAGCGGUGAAAUGCGUAGAUAUUAGGAGGAACACCAGUGGCGAAGGCGGCUUGCUGGACGAUGACUGACGCUGAGGCUCGAAAGCGUGGGGAGCAAACAGG
rnacentral:rRNA from 1 species